rnacentral:tRNA from 10 species
GGGGGAUGGGUCUGCUGGGAGUGGACACCGCACUUGCAAUGCGGGAAUCAGAACGGUUCAAAUCCGUUAUCCUCCACCA